rnacentral:rRNA from 1 species
ACGCUGGCGGCAGGCCUAACACAUGCAAGUCGAGCGGUAGAGAGAAGCUUGCUUCUCUUGAGAGCGGCGGACGGGUGAGUAAUGCCUAGGAAUCUGCCUGGUAGUGGGGGAUAACGUUCGGAAACGGACGCUAAUACCGCAUACGUCCUACGGGAGAAAGCAGGGGACCUUCGGGCCUUGCGCUAUCAGAUGAGCCUAGGUCGGAUUAGCUAGUUGGUGAGGUAAUGGCUCACCAAGGCGACGAUCCGUAACUGGUCUGAGAGGAUGAUCAGUCACACUGGAACUGAGACACGGUCCAGACUCCUACGGGAGGCAGCAGUGGGGAAUAUUGGACAAUGGGCGAAAGCCUGAUCCUGCCAUGCCGCGUGUGUGAAGAAGGUCUUCGGAUUGUAAAGCACUUUAAGUCGGGAGGAAGGGUUGUAGAUUAAUACUCUGCAAUUUUGACGUUACCGACAGAAUAAGCACCGGCUAACUCUGUGCCAGCAGCCGCGGUAAUACAGAGGGUGCAAGCGUUAAUCGGAAUUACUGGGCGUAAAGCGCGCGUAGGUGGUUUGUUAAGUUGGAUGUGAAAUCCCCGGGCUCAACCUGGGAACUGCAUUCAAAACUGACUGACUAGAGUAUGGUAGAGGGUGGUGGAAUUUCCUGUGUAGCGGUGAAAUGCGUAGAUAUAGGAAGGAACACCAGUGGCGAAGGCGACCACCUGGACUAAUACUGACACUGAGGUGCGAAAGCGUGGGAGCAAAC